GGAAGUGUAGUGGAAGUGUAGUUGUCUGAUGGAGGAACCCAUAGCUGUAUGGAUCUGUGCAAAACUGCUACAUGCACGUCUUCACUCCUGAGGAUAUUUUUAUUUGUGGGUUCUUAGCCAGACGCGAUCAGAGCUUGUAGCAGCACAACCGAGAGGGAGGAGAAUGGGCCUGCCAAGAAAACAAAAUAGCCUUCCAAGUGGAAAGUAGAGAUUCGGAAGAGAAGGAUGUAGGGUUUAUCCUACUUUGGCAGGGAAAAGAUGGUUUGAGUUGACUUUGGCAAUUCAUAUCUGCACUGUUUGAUUAUUUAUUACAUACAUGAUUCUUACCAGAAUACUUGUAUUCCAUGCUGAAAUGUCUGAUUUGCAUACUAGUAACAUGAUUAAUAGUGAAAUUUCGAUAUUCAUUGUUUGACUGUUGUACCACUUACCUGAUCCUACUUGAUAUUUCAUUCUGAGUAAAAAAUUAAACAUCACACUUUGUGUAAAUAUUUUUAGGACGCAUUCACGAUCACAUUUACUUGAAAUUAUAUUGUGAAAAUAAAUGUUCAUUAAUGCUAUUGAAAUUGUGAAAUUAUUAUAAUCUCUUGAGUACGUCUACAUUUUUAUGAAAUUGAGCACUAUGAUAGAUAAUAAGAAUGAGUCCAAAUAAAAGUUUGCGUAACGUAGCGCGUACAGUAGGAAACUUCUCGAAAGCGUACGCCAUUUGUACUUAUUUUGAAGCAUGCGUCGAUGCAAGCUGCAACGGAAAGUAUGCAAAUAUGACACAACAUUUAUUGAAAACAAUGGCAGCUAAAUUAUUACGAUUCACAUAUCUAGCUGAUAAUUGUUAAGUCAAACGUUUGCUUUGUGUAUAUGUAUGUAACAGUAUAGCUUCCGUCCCUCUCCUCGCCCCAAACCAGGAACUCUCUGCGCACAUCAACAACUGAC
rnacentral:lncRNA from 1 species